AUUGAACGCUAGCGGGAUGCCUUACACAUGCAAGUCGAACGGAGUGGCGAACGGGUGAGUAAUGUAUCGGAACGUGCCCAGUAGCGGGGGAUAACUACGCGAAAGCGUAGCUAAUCCCACAUCCUAUUGGAGCGAACGAAAUCGUAUGAGCUAGUUGGUGGGGUAACGGCUCACCAAGGCGACGAUCCGUAGCUGGUUUGAGAGGACGACCAGCCACACGGGGACUGAGACACGGCCCAGACUCCGCCGGGAGGCAGCAGUGGGGAAUUUUGGACAAUGGGGGAAACCCUGAUACAGCCAGCCCGCGUGUGCGAUGAGGGCCUUCGGGUUGUAAAGCACUUUUGGCAGGAAAGCGGUACUUGCAGAAGAAGCACCGGCUAACUACGUGCCAGCAGCCGCGGUAAUAC
rnacentral:rRNA from 1 species